GGCUUGGGGGUGUAGUGGUAGCAUGCGUCCCCGUUAUGUGUGAAACGCGGGUUCAACUCCCGUCUGAAGUCG